rnacentral:rRNA from 1 species
AGAGUUUGAUCCUGGCUCAGAACGAACGCUGGCGGCGUGGAUAAGACAUGCAAGUCGAGCGGGGUAAGUAGUGUAGUAAUACAUUGCUUAUCUAGCGGCGAACGGGUGCGUAACACGUGAGAAUCUACCGAAGAGUGGGGGAUAGCUCGCCGAAAGGCGAAUUAAUACCGCAUACUCAAAGCAGCAAUGCGCUUUUCGAUGAGCUCGCGGCCUAUCAGCUUGAUGGUGAGGUAAUGGCUCACCAUGGCAAUGACGGGUAGCUGGUCUGAGAGGACGACCAGCCACACUGGGACUGAGACACGGCCCAGACACCUACGGGUGGCAGCAGUCGAGAAUUUUUCACAAUGGGCGAAAGCCUGAUGGAGCGACGCCGCGUGGAGGAUGAAGGUUUUCGGAUUGUAAACUCCUGUCAUGAGAGAACAAAGCCUGCAAAGGUCUGAUAGUAUCUCAAGAGGAAGGGACGGCUAACUCUGUGCCAGCCGCCGCGGUAAUUC